CUACAGCACCCGGUAUUCCUAGGCAGUCUCCCAUCCAAGUACUAACCAGACCUGACUCUGCUUAGCUU
rnacentral:sRNA from 1 species